rnacentral:rRNA from 1 species
UACGUAGGUGGCAAGCGUUUGUCCGGAAUUAUUGGGCGUAAAGCGCGCGCAGGCGGUCUCUUAAGUCUGAUGUGAAAUCCCGUGGCUUAACCACGGGCGGUCAUUGGAAACUGGGGGACUUGAGUGCAGAAGAGAAGAGCGGAAUUCCACGUGUAGCGGUGAAAUGCGUAGAGAUGUGGAGGAACACCAGUGGCGAAGGCGGCUCUUUGGUCUGUAACUGACGCUGAGGCGCGAAAGCGUGGGGGAGCGAACAGG